UCUGCUUCACAAGUGGAACCUGUUGUUAACAGUUUGGUCAUCCUGUAGAGGGAAGCAUAGAUGAAUGGAAACACCGGCCAGCAUUAAACAGCAUGCCGCUUUAUCAAACUGCGUCUUGUUACCUGUCUUUUGGCACAUUU
rfam:Hordeum vulgare subsp. vulgare, WGS project CAJW01000000 data, contig: morex_contig_177362